AUCAAGCUGCAGUCACUGAUGAAAUAGGCUAUACCACAGUUUUCAGUCGGCAGAGACAGCACCUAAACAAAACAAGCUGCUGCCGACCAGUAGGCCCACGAAUAAUCUUUCUGACAUUGCGAUGAGUGAAACUGAUGGUAAAUAUUAAAGGGCUAUAAUUUUGAAGACUGAUGAUCAGCCCCUAAGACUAUCAAGCUGCAGUCACUGAUGAAAUAGGCUAUGUGUAGAGUGGGCAGAAACAGCACCUAAGAGUAGCGAGCUGCUGCCCACUAUAAAACCGCAGUAGAUGAAGAUUGGUCUGUGAUCGGAGGGGAGGGGGUGGAUGGGAACUACUGUAGCUGACACUAUGCAAGUGAAAGAUAGGCGGUUAUCUUGUCGACGUAUUGAAUAACAUAAUAUGUAUUCUGGCAAUGACUGUCGUGGUGAGUAUUUCAGACACUGUUGGUUUCAUUUCCCUUUGCGAAGUUCAACAUUUCUCCUUUUUCCUGUUUGAGCUGGCCAUGUAAGUUGGCCCAUCGUUGUUUUUGAACUUCGCUGAAAUUUGCAUGCAAAUUUUCUCCACAGCUUGUCGGGUGUUUAAAAUGUCGCAAAAGAAUAAUAGAAUUCUCUUAACUUGAGAGGUUUGAAACUAUAAAAUUUUGAAAUGAUGACUUAAUUGAUGGUAAGUGGCAGUGCCAAUAAUCUAGCCUAUGAGUAAACUUGAAGCCAAUCUUGUGUUGCUUUGGAAUUGACUGCAUAAGCCCCUAAUCUCAGCAAGCUGCAGUCAUUGAUGAAAUAGAAUUGUUGUGCAUCUACAGUACAGCAGGCAGAGACAGCACCUAAAUUUAGCAAGCUGCUGCCUGCAGAACGUGAAGAGGUGAAGAUUGUUGGCUUUGGCUCGCGACCUGCUCUGCGUAAAAUACAAAGACUUUACUACGAGGCUAAAGCAGAUGCAGUUUUCUUGUAGACAUUUCAAAGUCCACUCAUGGAAGGCUAGGCUUGAUGGUAACAGUUGCCAGAAACACCACCUUGGACUAGUAACCCCAUGCCUUUGUAUGAAUUCUUUUUCCGAGAGCCGAUGCUGAGGACUCGUGCCCUUCCCCCCCACCUUCCUGGCAGAGGACCAGCCGCGGAGGACCCAAAGGGAAGCGUCUCUAACGGACCACGAAGAGUACAUGGUGUUUCAAGAGAUGUAUUCUGGAAGAUCCUCGAGUCAUGCAGGACCAGCCAAGAGAUAAGAAUACCUUUUGUGUCAAGGGAUUUCUUCUGGAUGGAAGAGCAUCGAGUCCUUUAAGAACAGCCUCGAGAAAAGAGCCGAUGCUGAGGACUCGUGCCCUUCCCCCCCACCUUCCUGGCAGAGGACCAGCCGCGGAGGACCCAAAGGGAAGCGUCUCUAACGGACCACGAAGAGUACAUGGUGUUUCAAGAGAUGUAUUCUGGAAGAUCCUCGAGUCAUGCAGGACCAGCCAAGAGAAAAGAAUACCUUUUGUGUCAAGGGAUUUCUUCUGGAUGGAAGAGCAUCGAGUCCUUUAAGAACAGCCUCGAGAAAAGAGCCGAUGCUGAGGACUCGUGCCCUUCCCCCCCACCUUCCUGGCAGAGGACCAGCCGCGGAGGACCCAAAGGGAAGCGUCUCUAACGGACCACGAAGAGUACAUGGUGUUUCAAGAGAUGUAUUCUGGAAGAUCCUCGAGUCAUGCAGGACCAGCCAAGAGAAAAGAAUACCUCUUGUGUCAAGGGAUUUCUUCUGGAUGGAAGAGCAUCGAGUCCUUUAAGAACAGCCUCGAGAAAAGAGCCGAUGCUGAGGACUCGUGCCCUUCCCCCCCACCUUCCUGGCAGAGGACCAGCCGCGGAGGACCCAAAGGGAAGCGUCUCUAACGGACCACGAAGAGUACAUGGUGUUUCAAGAGAUGUAUUCUGGAAGAUCCUCGAGUCAUGCAGGACCAGCCAAGAGAAAAGAAUACCUUUUGUGUCAAGGGAUUUCUUCUGGAUGGAAGAGCAUCGAGUCCUUUAAGAACAGCCUCGAGAAAAGAGCCGAUGCUGAGGACUCGUGCCCUUCCCCCCCACCUUCCUGGCAGAGGACCAGCCGCGGAGGACCCAAAGGGAAGCGUCUCUAACGGACCACGAAGAGUACAUGGUGUUUCAAGAGAUGUAUUCUGGAAGAUCCUCGAGUCAUGCAGGACCAGCCAAGAGAAAAGAAUACCUUUUGUGUCAAGGGAUUUCUUCUGGAUGGAAGAGCAUCGAGUCCUUUAAGAACAGCCUCGAGAAAAGAGCCGAUGCUGAGGACUCGUGCCCUUCCCCCCCACCUUCCUGGCAGAGGACCAGCCGCGGAGGACCCAAAGGGAAGCGUCUCUAACGGACCACGAAGAGUACAUGGUGUUUCAAGAGAUGUAUUCUGGAAGAUCCUCGAGUCAUGCAGGACCAGCCAAGAGAAAAGAAUACCUUUUGUGUCAAGGGAUUUCUUCUGGAUGGAAGAGCAUCGAGUCCUUUAAGAACAGCCUCGAGAAAAGAGCCGAUGCUGAGGACUCGUGCCCUUCCCCCCCACCUUCCUGGCAGAGGACCAGCCGCGGAGGACCCAAAGGGAAGCGUCUCUAACGGACCACGAAGAGUACAUGGUGUUUCAAGAGAUGUAUUCUGGAAGAUCCUCGAGUCAUGCAGGACCAGCCAAGAGAAAAGAAUACCUUUUGUGUCAAGGGAUUUCUUCUGGAUGGAAGAGCAUCGAGUCCUUUAAGAACAGCCUCGAGAAAAGAGCCGAUGCUGAGGACUCGUGCCCUUCCCCCCCACCUUCCUGGCAGAGGACCAGCCGCGGAGGACCCAAAGGGAAGCGUCUCUAACGGACCACGAAGAGUACAUGGUGUUUCAAGAGAUGUAUUCUGGAAGAUCCUCGAGUCAUGCAGGACCAGCCAAGAGAAAAGAAUACCUUUUGUGUCAAGGGAUUUCUUCUGGAUGGAAGAGCAUCGAGUCCUUUAAGAACAGCCUCGAGAAAAGAGCCGAUGCUGAGGACUCGUGCCCUUCCCCCCCACCUUCCUGGCAGAGGACCAGCCGCGGAGGACCCAAAGGGAAGCGUCUCUAACGGACCACGAAGAGUACAUGGUGUUUCAAGAGAUGUAUUCUGGAAGAUCCUCGAGUCAUGCAGGACCAGCCAAGAGAAAAGAAUACCUUUUGUGUCAAGGGAUUUCUUCUGGAUGGAAGAGCAUCGAGUCCUUUAAGAACAGCCUCGAGAAAAGAGCCGAUGCUGAGGACUCGUGCCCUUCCCCCCCACCUUCCUGGCAGAGGACCAGCCGCGGAGGACCCAAAGGGAAGCGUCUCUAACGGACCACGAAGAGUACAUGGUGUUUCAAGAGAUGUAUUCUGGAAGAUCCUCGAGUCAUGCAGGACCAGCCAAGAGAAAAGAAUACCUUUUGUGUCAAGGGAUUUCUUCUGGAUGGAAGAGCAUCGAGUCCUUUAAGAACAGCCUCGAGAAAAGAGCCGAUGCUGAGGACUCGUGCCCUUCCCCCCCACCUUCCUGGCAGAGGACCAGCCGCGGAGGACCCAAAGGGAAGCGUCUCUAACGGACCACGAAGAGUACAUGGUGUUUCAAGAGAUGUAUUCUGGAAGAUCCUCGAGUCAUGCAGGACCAGCCAAGAGAAAAGAAUACCUUUUGUGUCAAGGGAUUUCUUCUGGAUGGAAGAGCAUCGAGUCCUUUAAGAACAGCCUCGAGAAAAGGUGAGAAACUUGCAAUAUUCUUUGCCUUCUUUUCUCUUGCAGUAUACUGAUGGUAAAUGUUAAAGGGCCAUAAUUUGGAAGACUGAAG
rnacentral:misc_RNA from 1 species